GUUUGAUCAUGGCUCAGAACGAACGCUGGCGGCAUGCCUAACACAUGCAAGUCGAACGGGAUCCGGACUUCGGUUCGGUGAGAGUGGCGGACGGGUGAGUAACGCGUGGGAACCUGCCCAAUGGUCUGGGAUAACCGCGGGAAACUGCGGCUAAUACCGGAUAAGCCCCCUGGCAACGGGGGGAAAGAUUUGUCGCCGAUGGAGGGGCCCGCGUCAGAUUAGGUAGUUGGUGGGGUAAUGGCCUACCAAGCCUACGAUCUGUAGCUGGUCUGAGAGGAUGAUCAGCCACACUGGGACUGAGAUACGGCCCAGACUCCUACGGGAGGCAGCAGUGGGGAAUAUUGGACAAUGGGGGCAACCCUGAUCCAGCAAUGCCGCGUGAGUGAUGAAGGCCUUAGGGUUGUAAAGCUCUUUUGGCGGGGACGAUGAUGACGGUACCCGCAGAAUAAGCCCCGGCUAACUUCGUGCCAGCAGCCGCG
rnacentral:rRNA from 1 species